rnacentral:lncRNA from 10 species
ACAGAUCGCAAGCUAAAUCAUCCAUCUUAGGAGAAACGGGGCUUUGCCAUGUCUCAAACUCCUGGCCUCAAGUGAUCCACCCGCCUCAGCCUCCCAAAGUGCUGGGAUUACAGGCCUGAGCCACCAUGCCCAGCCAGGAAGAUGCUGUUGACUGGGGCAAAGAAUAAUGGGAGAAAAACAGCUGGGUCCUAAAUAACAGAGGGAAACCAACUUUCAAUAAAGUAUUCAACAACUAAUCCACAAAGCAGAUAACUGAGCUUGCUGGCCUGCUCUAUAGUGCUGUUGCUUAAAAAGUCAUCUGUGAAGAAAACCAGAGGGAGAAAUUUCACCUGCCAAAGUGGAUAAAG